CGCGUAGGCGGUUUGUUAAGUCGGAUGUGAAAGCCCCGGGCUCAACCUGGGAAUUGCAUUCGAUACUGGCCGACUAGAGUACGAGAGAGGGAGGUAGAAUUCCACGUGUAGCGGUGUAAUGCGUAGAUAUGUGGAGGAAUACCGGUGGCGAAGGCGGCCUCCUGGCUCGAUACUGACGCUGAGGUGCGAAAGCGUGGGCAGCAAACA
rnacentral:rRNA from 1 species